AACCAAAUGCUUGCAUAACCCUCGUGAUGUGAUAGAUUACCUUGAGCGGGGUAUUAGAGAAUCAAUGCGUGCGGGAAACAAGUUCUUAUUAGCCCCUUGUUUUGAGGAUCUACAUUGGAGCCUUAUGGUGAUUUGUGUUUCCAAUAACACAAUCUACUACUUUGACUCGACUCGUAUAUGGCCACCAAGGAAGUUGCUAGUGAAUAACCUAUUGAAUAGUGUUAUGAAGAAGUUGAAUUGUCGUUCGGUUGCGGGUCCCACGUGAAAAUAUGCGAAGGUAAAGCCUUGAUAUAUUGAUUUAUUUAAUAAAAUUGCCUUGAGUUUUAUCACAGCAUGACUAUUUUAACUUUGUGUCAUUUUAGUGUGCGCAACAAGACAACGACGUUGACUGUGCCAUCUACGUGAUGAGGUU